GGGGACAUGGCCGAGUGGUCUAAGGAGCCGUCUUAAGGUGGAGUUCGCAUGCCUCAAAGUCGGGUCAUCGAGCACGGCCGGCGGUCUUCGGGCGUGGGUUCGAAUCCCACUGGCGUCA
rnacentral:tRNA from 1 species